rnacentral:rRNA from 1 species
CCUACGGGUGGCUGCAGUGAGGAAUAUUGGUCAAUGGGCGCGAGCCUGAACCAGCCAAGUCGCGUGAAGGAUGACUGCCCUACGGGUUGUAAACUUCUUUUAUAAGGAAUAAAGUGAGGCACGUGUGCCUUUUUGUCUGUACUUUAUGAAUAAGGAUCGGCUAACUCCGUGCCAGCCGCCGCGGUAAGACGGAGGAUCCGAGCGUUAUCCGGAUUUAUUGGGUUUAAAGGGAGCGUAGAUGGGUUGUUAAGUCAGUUGUGAAAGUUUGCGGCUCAACCGUAAAAUUGCAAUUGAUACUGGCAGUCUUGAGUACAGUGGAGGUAGGCGGAAUUCGUGGUGUAGCGGUGAAAUGCUUAGAUAUCACGAAGAACCCCGAUUGCGAAGGCAGCUUACUAAACUGUGACUGACAUUGAUGCUCGAAAGUGUGGGUAUCAAACAGGAUUAGAUACCCGGGUAGUC